rnacentral:lncRNA from 1 species
ACUGAGUUCGGCAUAUCAGGUUAAGUGUACUUUGAACUUAGAAUGGCAAGCCAGGAGAAAUGCAUAACUGGAAUCAGAAGUAUACAACUGGGGUGAGAGCUAGAAAAAUAGUCCUCAUGAAUUCUGUGUUUAGGUAGGAGCUAUCCCAGAAACUCUUAGCUGUUUUUAAGAUACUUUGGAAAGCUUCCUAAAAAGAUGAAAGAAACAUUUAUGUAGCAUCUAUUAUUCUCCAGGCUCUGUGAUGAGAUUUUUUCAUAUUUAAUUUCUUCCCAAACCCUGUGAAAUAGAUACUCUCUUCAUUUUCAGAAGAGUGUAUUCUGAGUAUUUUUGAGAUGGUGAAUCCUGAACUACAACUGCUGGCACCACUGACAUGGGCACUGAUAUUGCUCUAGCUGCAUCCACCAAAUGGAAGGGGGAUCAAAGGCUGGGAACUCUACAAACCAAUAAAAAUCCACUUCAAUGAGGAAAGCAGAAUUUAUAUGGCCAAGGGCACAGUAAAGCCCCAAGAGUCACAUACACGCUGAUGACAAUUCUACCCAUUGCCUACAAUCUCAGAGAUGUUCAAGGACAAUUCCAAGACCCAAGAAAACACUAGGCUGAGUGUAAGAAUACUUUUCCAAUUGACAGUUC